rnacentral:rRNA from 1 species
CUGGCAGUAAACGGUGCACACUUGCUGUGUGAGGGAUCGACCCCUUACGUGGCGAAGCAAACGCGAUAAGUGUGCCGCCUGGGGAGUACGGUCGCAAGACUAAAACUCAAAGAAAUUGAC